rnacentral:rRNA from 1 species
AUUGAACGCUGGCGGCAUGCCUUACACAUGCAAGUCGAACGGUAACAGGUCUUCGGAUGCUGACGAGUGGCGAACGGGUGAGUAAUGCAUCGGAACGUGCCCAGUUGUGGGGGAUAACUGCUCGAAAGAGCAGCUAAUACCGCAUACGACCUGAGGGUGAAAGCGGGGGAUCGCAAGACCUCGCGCAAUUGGAGCGGCCGAUGUCAGAUUAGGUAGUUGGGGGGGUAAAGGCCUACCAAGCCGACGAUCUGUAGUUGGUCUGAGAGGACGACCAGCCACACUGGGACUGAGACACGGCCCAGACUCCUACGGGAGGCAGCAGUGGGGAAUUUUGGACAAUGGGCGCAAGCCUGAUCCAGCAAUGCCGCGUGCAGGAAGAAGGCCUUCGGGUUGUAAACUGCUUUUGUCAGGGAAGAAAUCCUCUGGGUUAAUACCCCGGGGGGAUGACGGUACUUGAAGAAUAAGCACCGGCUAACUACGUGCCAGCCGCCGCGGUAAAAC